rnacentral:rRNA from 1 species
AUUGAACGCUGGCGGCAGGCCUAACACAUGCAAGUCGAGCGGCAGCGGGAAAGUAGCUUGCUACUUUUGCCGGCGAGCGGCGGACGGGUGAGUAAUGCCUGGGGAUCUGCCCAGUCGAGGGGGAUAACAGUUGGAAACGACUGCUAAUACCGCAUACGCCCUACGGGGGAAAGGAGGGGACCUUCGGGCCUUUCGCGAUUGGAUGAACCCAGGUGGGAUUAGCUAGUUGGUGGGGUAAUGGCUCACCAAGGCGACGAUCCCUAGCUGGUCUGAGAGGAUGAUCAGCCACACUGGAACUGAGACACGGUCCAGACGCCUACGGGAGGCAGCAGUGGGGAAUAUUGCACAAUGGGGGAAACCCUGAUGCAGCCAUGCCGCGUGUGUGAAGAAGGCCUUCGGGUUGUAAAGCACUUUCAGCGAGGAGGAAAGGUUGUUGGCCAAUACCCAGCAACUGUGACGUUACUCGCAGAAGAAGCACCGGCUAACUCCGUGCCAGCCGCCGCCGUAA